GCCACACAAGGAAUGUUUGUGAUAAAUGUUUUCUUUUAAACCACUUUUGUUAUACUGAAGGUACAAUAUAAAAAAAAAUGUUUAAAAUAAUUAAACUCAAUCUGUAUAAUUUUAUUUACUAAAACAAAAAAUUUGCAAGUAAUAACAUCAUACUAAUAAAUUUAAAAAUCAUUCUAUUAAACAAGGACUAUUGACAUUAUUAGUAAUAAACGACUUUAUUUAUAAGAAAGAGCGUCUGUGCAGGAAUAUUUCGGACUUCGAAGCAGUGCUUAAUAAAAACAACAAAACACAAUAUUUAACCAAAGCUGGCUACUUAAAUAACUAAACAUUUGUACCAUAAAAAAACAGCAAUAAAGUAUCCUAGAUCGGCUUUAAAUUUGUGCAGAUCGAAAAUAAAAAUAGGUGCGAACACAGUUCAGCGAUACUGAAGCCGAAGAACGACGGAAUAGGAAGGAGCGGGCUUAACAAGAAUUUAUACCUAAAAAGUUACAAUUGAAAAUUGUCCACCGUGUCGCUAAUGACAAUAUAAAUGAUUUCCUUGGCGGAUGGAUGGACAACAGAGUAAGAGCUCUGAUUUUUGGACUACGCAGUUUGAUUAGGGUCCGAUAUCUACUAACCGCCCUUGGAUUCUACGACCGCGUCGCUUUUGGAGUUCCCGAAAAUUUGGAAUGAAUCUUUUAUUAUUCCAAAUCAUAAAAAAGGCUCAAGGUCCGAUGUGGAAAAUAAUCGUGGUAUAGCCAAACUUUCUGCCAUACCUAAGCUUUUCGUGCAGAUGGUCACUUGUGAGCUUCAACAUAUGUGUGCCUCCAUCAUUUCUCCCGCACAGCAUGGCUUUGUAAAACAUCGGUCGACUACUACUAAUGUUCUUGAAUUUUCUUCUCUCAACCACCGUAGUUUCCUAAAUAAACUAAAGAUAAACUGACGUUAUCUUUACUGACUUCAGCAAGGCAUUUGAUUCAGUUAACCAUAGCCUUCUCCUUUAUAAACUUUCUCUUCUUGGUUUUCAACCUAAAUUACUUAACUGGUUUUCGGCCUAUCUUUCAAACAGAACUCAGCGCGUUCUUUCCAAUAAUCAACUUUCCUCCUUCCUAAAUGUUUUUUUUUUCUGUUGUCCCCCAAGGAAGUCACCUGGGGCCACUACUUUUCGUUCUUUUUAUUAAUGAUCUUCCAGAAGUAGUGUCGUUUGCCUCUACUCUAAUGUAUGCGACCUCGUAAAAAUUUGCCUAUCAUUCUCUGACCAAAUGGCAUACCUUCGCCUACAGUCUGACACAGAUCAAUUACAAUUAUGGUGUUCCAACAAUUUAUUGCUUUUAACCACUCUAAAUGCAAAUAUAUGUCCUUUGUCCCACACACUCUCUUACCAUCUUAAAACUCUAAUUUAGAACGUAUUAGGCAAGUGUCCUAUUUCAAGGUCAUAUUUCUGUCAUCAUUAACAGAGCUGAGAGUGUUUUAGUCUUCAUAAAACGUUGGACCAAGGACUUGACGAAUACUGCGCAUGUGUAUGGAAUACUGUAAUAUCUAUGGAAAAUUCUAUUGAUCGGUUAUCAUCAAACUUUUUAGCUUUUUAAGUUAUUUUAAUUAGACUUAUU